ACGGAGGGGGCCAGCGUUGUUCGGAAUUAUUGGGCGUAAAGGGCGCGUAGGCGGUCGAGUAAGUCUGACGUGAAAUCCCUUGGCUCAACCAAGGAAUUGCGUCUUAAACUGCUCGGCUUGAGUCCGGGAGAGGGUAGUGGAAUUCCCAGUGUAGCGGUGAAAUGCGUAGAUAUUGGGAGGAACACCGGUGGCGAAGGCGGCAUCCUGGACCGGCAUUGACGCUGAGGCGCGAAAGCCAGGGGAGCAAACGGGA
rnacentral:rRNA from 1 species